AGCUGACAAGAUAUCGCUCCGUAGCGGCUGGUAUUUGAGCUCACGGAGGCUCAGCUGUGUGCUGUCGGAGCCGGUCUUGGAUACAGCUGUUGCUCUGGUGAGGCAAAAGGAAGCAAAGAAAAAAGCAAACUCGGAAAUGCUGGCUCUUUUUUGUUUAAUGCGUUCCCAGUAAUUGCAGAGUCAAGAACAAUCCAUUCAAAAGCACUCAGAUUAAAUAUUUGAGGAUGAUUGCUUGAAGAGGAGGCACUUGGCUCCAGCAGCAUGUCCCUCUGUGCAUCAUCUCACAAGGAAUUUUCUCAGUUGCCACCGGUCCAAGACCUCGGAUGUACCAAAGCAGAAGUGAAAAGCUCCCUCUCCGAGCUGGUCUCUCCUGCCCCUUUCAGCUGCAGCCAGUCUGCUUUGAGCGUAGAGCACAGCCCAAUUUACAUUCCAUCCUCUUAUAUGGAAAACAGGCAUGAGUAUCCGGCCAUGACAUUCUACACCCCCGCUAUGAUGAACUACAGCAUUCCAAGCACAUUCGGCGACUCGGAAAGCGCCUCUCUCAGGCAGUCGGCCAGCCCAAGCAUGUUAUGGUCUGGUUCUGACCACAUCUCUCCUUUGACUUUACACUGCCAGUCGUCUGUUUUAUAUGCAGACCAACCAAAAAGCCCGUGGUGCGAAGCGAGACCCGGGGAUCAUGUCCUUCCUAUGCACAGAGAAACCUUGAAAAGAAAAGCCAACAGCAACGACUGUACCAGCCCCUCCACAAACAGCCCCGUCUCGAAAAGGGACGCCCAUUUCUGUGCCGUGUGCAGCGAUUAUGCCUCAGGAUAUCACUAUGGCGUUUGGUCAUGUGAGGGCUGCAAAGCGUUCUUCAAAAGAAGCAUUCAAGGACACAAUGAUUAUAUUUGCCCAGCGACAAAUCAGUGCACAAUAGAUAAAAACCGACGCAAAAGCUGCCAAGCCUGCCGACUUCGGAAAUGCUACGAAGUUGGGAUGAUGAAAUGUGGUUCAAGAAGAGAGCGCUGUGGCUAUCGCAUAAUUCGCCGCCACCGUAACUCAGACGAUCCAGUGCACUGCGUAGGCAAAGUUAAGAAGAGCAAUGAAGCCAUAAUUCAAGUAAAAGAACUGCUGGUCAAUGCAUUGACCCCGGAACAGUUCGUUUCCAUAUUACUUGAAGCCGAGCCGCCAAAUGUGUUGGUGAGCCGCCCCAGCAAACCGUUUACAGAAGCCUCCAUGAUGAUGUCACUGACGAAGCUUGCAGACAAAGAACUGGUCCACAUGAUUGGCUGGGCCAAAAAGAUUCCUGGCUUUAUAGAACUCACUCUGUUCGAUCAAGUAAGGCUUUUGGAAAGCUGUUGGCUCGAAGUGUUGAUGGUGGGUCUGAUGUGGAGAUCCAUCGAUCACCCUGGCAAGCUCAUCUUCGCGCCAGAUCUCGUACUUGACAGGGAUGAAGGGAAGUGUGUGGAAGGAAUUUUGGAAAUCUUUGACAUGCUCUUGGCGACAACUUCAAGGCUCCGGGAGCUGAAAUUGCAGCACAAGGAAUAUAUUUGUGUCAAGGCCAUGAUCCUCCUCAAUUCCAAUAUGUUUCCACUCUCCUCUGCUGCAGAAGAGCCCGAGAGCAACAGGAAACUGAGUCACCUGCUGAACUCCGUGACGGAUGCCUUGGUGUGGGUCAUUGCCAAGAGCGGGGUCCCUUUGGCCCAACAGACGACACGCUUGGCGAACUUGCUGAUGCUGCUCUCACAUGUCCGGCACGCAAGUAACAAAGGGAUGGAGCACCUUCUCAGCAUGAAGUGCAAGAAUGUUGUUCCCGUCUAUGACCUACUGUUGGAGAUGCUCAACGCUCACACCAUCCGGAACAACAGAAAAACCUCUGCCUCCAAUAUCGAGGUCAGCCCAUCAGAACAAACUGAGAGUGCAGACGGACCUCAGCAGUGAUUUCGUACUGGAACAGGAGCCCAGGGAAGCACCAAGAAAACAGUCCCAAGAUUCAAGAUGUGGGUGUUUGCUUUAAAAGAAAGAAGGCACAAAUCUUGAUCUCUCUCUCUCUCUCUCUCUCUUGCCUGGAGUUUUUUAAUGGGAUUGUACGCUAAUCUUUUACACUGGAUGCAGUAUGUCUUGGGAAAGCCUCAAAGGGUUGGAAUGGAAGAAUCUGCUGGUUGAAUGUAGCUUUAUCAUCAACUCUGCACUUCUGGAGUGCCUUUUAGAGGAGACUGUUGAAGUGCCGUACGCGCCUUAAGCUUCAUGGUUAUCCUUGUUGGGUGGCGGUGUUUGGGUGAUGCACAGACCUAGGGUUCCACUGCAAAAAAAAAAAGGGGAGCAGCCUCUUCUAACAGAAGUAACCUAUGGAAAUACGCUGUACAUUACAGCAGACAGGAGGGAUCCCAUCCACCUUAAGAAAUAGGUGCUGUUCCAACUUGCAAAAGACAUGGAUAAGUUUACCUUUGUGCAAAUGCACCUUUGAUUGGUAGUGGGAGAAAGAGGUCCUCCUAUUUAAAGGAAAGCACUUGGAGAAUUUGUAUCCUGACCCACUUUGAAAAUGUGGACCAAAAGCUUAUUUUUUAUUAUUACAAAGCUCCAGUUUGUAUUGACUGUUAUCCAACCAUUUGCCGUGUUUGAUUUUCUGUGCUCUAGCCCUUGAGUGGGUGCAAGGCUUGCCCUUUUCGUUUCCUGCUGCAGACUCGUGCAACGUAUUGCCAUGUGUGGAGGAAUUAUUGCUAUGAAUAGUCAGAAUUCGUGAGUAAUUGUUUCAUGCUUAGCUACACAGGAUCAAUAUGAUUGUGGCUAUAAUUGUGGGGACAGGUUUUGGUGUCCAUAAAUGUAUUCAUCCUAUGGGGGGCGGGGAGAGCUCAGAAUAAGGUGCCUUCCGGUGGACCAAUUAGAGUAUGUCCCAACAGGAGCAGUUGAAACGGCUAUGUGCCAUAUCAGUGCAUGGAUUCCAAUGCACAUGCACAAACAGCAAGUGCUUCCCCAGUUACUUCAGUGGAGGAGGCAUCUCUGCGCACAAAAAGAGAACACGCACAAGUUAAUGUGAAAGUGUGAUUACUCCCCAUGCAAAUGUGCCAGCGUUUAUUGUAUGAGUUAGCUAAUGCACCUUGGAUAGAAAAGGGAGCCUGGAGCAUGUCUGUCUUCAGGCUUCAUUGGAAAGCCGCAGGAAAACUCUUGGAUAGCUCAGUUGGUUAGAGCAUAGUGCUGAUAAUUCCAAGGUUGCAGGUUUGAUCCCCAAAUGGGACAGCUACAUAUUCCUGCACUGCAGGCAGUUGGACUAGAUAGACAAUCCUCAGGGGCCCUUCCAACGCUACAAUUCUAUGAUUCUUACCUGAUUAUAUUAUUCCUACUUGAUCCUUAGCAUGGGGAAUGUCCAGUGGGAGGCUGCUUACCCCUAGACAUCCUCCCAUGUACUAGGAGAAUCCAGUGACAACCACAGUUGCCUCUUUAGACCAGCGCUGGCUGACACACACACACACACACACACACACACACACACACUCUCCCAAAUUUGACCUUUGGGAAUAAGAAGCCCUGAAACUAUAUCAGUUUCCAUGCAGUUAGAGCAACUGGGCAGUGUGCUUCCCUGCCCUAUGGGCUGUUGAGCCAUUAUUUGUAUCUUGACUGCCAACUUAUGCACUCUCAAUUUAUAGCACGAAACUAGAGCAAGGGCAAGGAACUUGUGACUGUCCAGAUGGUAGCAUUUCCUAUGGACAUGGGAUGGUGGGAGUUGGUAUCCAAAAACAUCUGCAGAGCCCUCCCAAGCCUCGAGUCAGUGGGCUUCUUUAUUUUGGGCAAUGGAAAGGGCUGCACUAGAAUCUCCCAAACUUCUGAUCUGUGUGACGCCCCUUUUUCCUGAAUUAAAACUGGAGGCACCUUUCACUCCUCUGGCCAUAGCACACAAACAGUUUGCAAUGUAGUCCGUAGAAGCUGAUGCCACAAUAAAUCUGUUGUAACGAAAACAAUGUUAGAGUCCUGCAGCCCUUCGAAGACUCCCAUGGCUACCCUUCUGCACAUAGAAAUGGCUUCUCCCUCAGUCACUUUUUGUCCUGUCUCCCCAUCUCUGCCUAUCACUCCCCCUUCAAAUCUCACCUGAAAACCCUAACCUUGUGCACUUUUCAACAUGGUAUCUCGGACUGUGGUUGCUCAGUGCUUCCUCCUAUUCCAGUGCUUGUAGCUUCUGCCUGCUUGCUGUGGGAGGAUUGUCGGAUUACGUGUUGUGUUGGCAGCAUGCGGCCUCCUGGCCGACCCCAGUGGGGCCUCAGCAGGAAAUGUGCCACCAACAUGGCACCUGAUUGUGCAGCCAGUGGAAUGGGAGCAAUCCCAGAGAUGGCAACAGCCACAUGUUCAAUGUCACGUGUCUCCCAGGCCUUUUGCAACUUACCCCUCACUUUCACCGCGCCUUCAUCUCCUUGUUGAUUAUAUUUCACUGUUGCUUGUUUUCUUCUCUUUUGCUUUGUUCAUUCUAUGUCAGUUGUAAUCAGGGAACGCAGCCCAUCAGCACCAAAUAAACAUUGUGCAAACAAGCACUGCAAGACUUUUCUCCGUAAUUGGACAAUGUUGCAGGUGCAUGGCCCUUGUUUCGUAUGUGCAUGAUGUACAUAAAUUGAUGUCUCUGUAUACAUGACGAAUUACGGCUAAUUGUUAGAACUGACUCGUUUUAGGAGAUUGUGUCUGAAGGGAAGGUGGGGGGGCCCCCUCUUCUAUACACACAGCUGGCCAGCUGAUUUUGCAAACACCCCCUGACGAAUCUGUGUGUGAACCAACCCAAUGAAAGUUUGACACGGUGCUGUGAAGAAAUGCUUCAAAUCUUUGCCUGGGGGGGGGGGAAUCUGCGAAGGCCCCGGAGAUUUAUUCCGUUUGCUGAGCUAAAAUGGACUUUGGAUGCAAAUAUCAAAUAUCAAAAGGCAUCACAUUUUAACAAGAGGUAGGAACAUGAGUUUGACCAAACUGCGGGAGGCAGUGGAAGGCAGGAGUGCCUGGCGUGCUCUGGUCCAUGGGGUCACGAAGAGUCAGACACGACUAAACGACUAAACAACAACAAGAAUAAAUAUCGACUGGAAAAAUGCAGAGAUGCUGCCAGGCUUUUUUGUCUCUCUCUUACUAAUGGGCCUUCUGACUCUUUGCAAAGCACAGAGUUGGGGGGGACAAGACAGGUUACUUGUUAUCUGGGCUAUGCAUAAAUGGUGACUGGAGGAGGGGUGUACGGAAACAGUAUGGAAUUCAUCUUCCUCAGAAUUUUAGCUUUCAUUUUAGAAAACCCCACAAAGUUUCUCAGUUUUAGGGAUGUAAAGUUUUUCUUGAAAUGCCUCCAGAGUGCCGCUGAAUGUUUCAAUGCCCUGAGUAGCACAUUGCCCAGGCUCACACAGAACAAAUUAUGCAAAACAAGAGAACAUAUGCAAAAUUACUUAAUUUAAAUUAGUUGCGGUUGUUUUAAAUUUUUCUGAAUUAGACCCACCCCGUCCACAACCCUGGCAAGAAUAUUAGAAGAGAUGGAAAUGCAUUCGGAAGGCUCACUGUAUCGAUGUGCGUAGAGACACAGGUUUCCUAGUGUCAUGAAGGGGGUGGUCUAAUUCAGAGGAGGAAUAGGAGGAGCUCAGAGCGCUGGAUCUGGGCAAUCCUGGAGAGUGUCCUAGCAGAUGAGGGAGGUGGAAGCAGGAAUUGGAGAAGCGUCUGAGUCUGGGGAGGAGGCCAGGGGGAUGAAGAGAGGAGGGGGCGGACCAAGGAGGUUGGCAGGGGGGUGUUCCGCCCCUUGACACUGGGCACUCCUAAUCAGAUGCCUCCUGCUGGGGAGCUGCCACCCCACCUCAGUAUCUUCACCUACCAAAUGAGACUAAAUUGGAUGCUGAGGUGGCGCUGCCCCCCCCCCCAUCUCCAUCUGCAAGGACACAAGAGAUGCCAGGGCGCACCUCACAAGCCCAGCCUACUCAAAGGGGUGCCACUUCUGCAGAGUCCUGUGGCUCUGACUGCUUGCUGCGCGCUGUGUGCUCUGCCCAAAAGCAAGGUGCAGGGGGCACACCGCUUGUUGGGUGAACGUCUUGCGCUUAGCUAUGUAUUUAUACCUCCGCUGUACCUGCUGUACCUUGUGCCUUGCUUAUGUACCAACCUGACUUAUGCAUUAAAGCCUUUGCCAGAAACUCAGCUGGGAGUUCCAAGUUCUUCCUCCGGCCGGCAGCGAGGGCCAGGCGGUCUAGCGGUCUGAAAUUGCAGUGAAAAGCCAUUUCUGCAAAUUAU